GGUUAAGCGACUAAGCGUACACGGUGGAUGCCCUGGCAGUCAGAGGCGAUGAAGGACGUGCUAAUCUGCGAUAAGCGUCGGUAAGGUGAUAUGAACCGUUAUAACCGGCGAUUUCCGAAUGGGGAAACCCAGUGUGAUUCGUCACACUAUCAUUAACUGAAUCCAUAGGUUAAUGAGGCGAACCGGGGGAACUGAAACAUCUAAGUACCCCGAGGAAAAGAAAUCAACCGAGAUUCCCCCAGUAGCGGCGAGCGAACGGGGAGCAGCCCAGAGCCUGAAUCAGUGUGUGUGUUAGUGGAAGCGUCUGGAAAGGCGCGCGAUACAGGGUGACAGCCCCGUACACAAAAAUGCACAUGCUGUGAGCUCGAUGAGUAGGGCGGGACACGUGGUAUCCUGUCUGAAUAUGGGGGGACCAUCCUCCAAGGCUAAAUACUCCUGACUGACCGAUAGUGAACCAGUACCGUGAGGGAAAGGCGAAAAGAACCCCGGCGAGGGGAGUGAAAAAGAACCUGAAACCGUGUACGUACAAGCAGUGGGAGCCUCUUUUAUGGGGUGACUGCGUACCUUUUGUAUAAUGGGUCAGCGACUUAUAUUCUGUAGCAAGGUUAACCGAAUAGGGGAGCCGAAGGGAAACCGAGUCUUAACUGGGCGUUAAGUUGCAGGGUAUAGACCCGAAACCCGGUGAUCUAGCCAUGGGCAGGUUGAAGGUUGGGUAACACUAACUGGAGGACCGAACCGACUAAUGUUGAAAAAUUAGCGGAUGACUUGUGGCUGGGGGUGAAAGGCCAAUCAAACCGGGAGAUAGCUGGUUCUCCCCGAAAGCUAUUUAGGUAGCGCCUCGUGAAUUCAUCUCCGGGGGUAGAGCACUGUUUCGGCAAGGGGGUCAUCCCGACUUACCAACCCGAUGCAAACUGCGAAUACCGGAGAAUGUUAUCACGGGAGACACACGGCGGGUGCUAACGUCCGUCGUGAAGAGGGAAACAACCCAGACCGCCAGCUAAGGUCCCAAAGUCAUGGUUAAGUGGGAAACGAUGUGGGAAGGCCCAGACAGCCAGGAUGUUGGCUUAGAAGCAGCCAUCAUUUAAAGAAAGCGUAAUAGCUCACUGGUCGAGUCGGCCUGCGCGGAAGAUGUAACGGGGCUAAACCAUGCACCGAAGCUGCGGCAGCGACACUAUGUGUUGUUGGGUAGGGGAGCGUUCUGUAAGCCUGUGAAGGUGUGCUGUGAGGCAUGCUGGAGGUAUCAGAAGUGCGAAUGCUGACAUAAGUAACGAUAAAGCGGGUGAAAAGCCCGCUCGCCGGAAGACCAAGGGUUCCUGUCCAACGUUAAUCGGGGCAGGGUGAGUCGACCCCUAAGGCGAGGCCGAAAGGCGUAGUCGAUGGGAAACAGGUUAAUAUUCCUGUACUUGGUGUUACUGCGAAGGGGGGACGGAGAAGGCUAUGUUGGCCGGGCGACGGUUGUCCCGGUUUAAGCGUGUAGGCUGGUUUUCCAGGCAAAUCCGGAAAAUCAAGGCUGAGGCGUGAUGACGAGGCACUACGGUGCUGAAGCAACAAAUGCCCUGCUUCCAGGAAAAGCCUCUAAGCAUCAGGUAACAUCAAAUCGUACCCCAAACCGACACAGGUGGUCAGGUAGAGAAUACCAAGGCGCUUGAGAGAACUCGGGUGAAGGAACUAGGCAAAAUGGUGCCGUAACUUCGGGAGAAGGCACGCUGAUAUGUAGGUGAAGUCCCUCGCGGAUGGAGCUGAAAUCAGUCGAAGAUACCAGCUGGCUGCAACUGUUUAUUAAAAACACAGCACUGUGCAAACACGAAAGUGGACGUAUACGGUGUGACGCCUGCCCGGUGCCGGAAGGUUAAUUGAUGGGGUCAGCGCAAGCGAAGCUCUUGAUCGAAGCCCCGGUAAACGGCGGCCGUAACUAUAACGGUCCUAAGGUAGCGAAAUUCCUUGUCGGGUAAGUUCCGACCUGCACGAAUGGCGUAAUGAUGGCCAGGCUGUCUCCACCCGAGACUCAGUGAAAUUGAACUCGCUGUGAAGAUGCAGUGUACCCGCGGCAAGACGGAAAGACCCCGUGAACCUUUACUAUAGCUUGACACUGAACAUUGAGCCUUGAUGUGUAGGAUAGGUGGGAGGCUUUGAAGUGUGGACGCCAGUCUGCAUGGAGCCGACCUUGAAAUACCACCCUUUAAUGUUUGAUGUUCUAACGUUGACCCGUGAUCCGGGUUGCGGACAGUGUCUGGUGGGUAGUUUGACUGGGGCGGUCUCCUCCUAAAGAGUAACGGAGGAGCACGAAGGUUGGCUAAUCCUGGUCGGACAUCAGGAGGUUAGUGCAAUGGCAUAAGCCAGCUUGACUGCGAGCGUGACGGCGCGAGCAGGUGCGAAAGCAGGUCAUAGUGAUCCGGUGGUUCUGAAUGGAAGGGCCAUCGCUCAACGGAUAAAAGGUACUCCGGGGAUAACAGGCUGAUACCGCCCAAGAGUUCAUAUCGACGGCGGUGUUUGGCACCUCGAUGUCGGCUCAUCACAUCCUGGGGCUGAAGUAGGUCCCAAGGGUAUGGCUGUUCGCCAUUUAAAGUGGUACGCGAGCUGGGUUUAGAACGUCGUGAGACAGUUCGGUCCCUAUCUGCCGUGGGCGCUGGAGAACUGAGGGGGGCUGCUCCUAGUACGAGAGGACCGGAGUGGACGCAUCACUGGUGUUCGGGUUGUCAUGCCAAUGGCACUGCCCGGUAGCUAAAUGCGGAAGAGAUAAGUGCUGAAAGCAUCUAAGCACGAAACUUGCCCCGAGAUGAGUUCUCCCUGACUCCUUGAGAGUCCUGAAGGAACGUUGAAGACGACGACGUUGAUAGGCCGGGUGUGUAAGCGCAGCGAUGCGUUGAGCUAACCGGUACUAAUGAACCGUGAGGCUUAACCUU
rnacentral:rRNA from 1 species